GUUUGAUCCCUGGCUCCAGGACGAACGCUGGCGGGCGUGCCUAAUACAUGCAAGUCGAGCGGAUGACGGGGAGCUUGCUCCCCUGAUUCAGCGGCGGACGGGGUGAGUAACACGUGGGCAACCUGCCUGUAAGAUCGGGAUAACUCCGGGAAACCGGGGCUAAUACCGGGAUGGUUCCCUUCCUCCGCAUGGAGGAAGGGCGGAAAGACGGUUUCGGGCUGUCACUUACAGAUGGGCCCGCGGCGCAUUAGCUAGUUGGUGGGGUAACGGCCCACCAAGGCAACGAUGCGUAGCCGACCUGAGAGGGGUGAUCGGCCACACUGGGACUGAGACACGGCCCAGACUCCUACGGGAGGCAGCAGUAGGGGAAUUCUUCCGCAAAUGGACGAAAAGUUCUGACGGAGCAACGCCGCGUGAGCGAAAGAAAGGCCUUCGGGUUCGUAAAAGCUCUGUUGUAAAGGGAAAGAACAAGGCAGCCGGUUAACUGCCGGCGCCCUGACGG
rnacentral:rRNA from 1 species